CAACCACACACAAAAAACACAGGAGCACACAACAUAAAACCAAGGAGGUCAGUUGAAUUAAGUUCUGUUGGUUUAAACAACGGUUAAUUUCUUAAUAUGCAUUUGUAACAAUGGAUUAACAGACUUACUUAGUAAUUUGACUUUGGACAUAUCUGGUGUCAAAUUUGUAUGUUAUCAGGCUUACAAAUUCACAAUCUGUGACAUGGUGUGCAUCUGCACACUUACUGUUGAAAGUACAAAAGGGCACCUUUUAAUAGGGCAGACUGUGAGAGGUCACAUUGUGCUGCUUAGGACUUGGUCACCAGGACCUACAGUAGAGAUAAUGUGUCUCUCCAUGUUAGUGUCACAAAGUAGAAAUUUAGCUCCUUUAAAUCCCCAGGCUUGAUACACAUACCUAGACGGUUUUAGUUUUAAAAUGGUCUUUGUAUGGAUUUUUUGAGCUUGAGUGUUUUGGUACAGUUGGUUUUUACACCUGAUGCAAACUGUAAAGACCACCUUUUCAAGUGGACUUGGGCAUGGAUUUGUUCACACUUAUCAAACGAGCAGGACUUUGGGGUCAACUUUAGGAUCUGGGCCCGGGUCCCUAAUGUAAAAGCCCCCUUACUGCCUUAUAUUCCAUUAUAUUUUUAUACUUUGAAUUGUUACUUGUAUUUUCCUUCCCAUAAAUAAAGGUAUUUCCAACAUAAAUUGGUGCAUAAAAAAGAGAAAAUGAAAAUGGGUUUGAAGCUGAAAAUGUCGUACCCCCCACUUUCAUAUGUUUCCCCAAAAAGGCCCAUUCGGAGCCAGGAAAAAAAGAAUUAUGUGUAUAGACUACACCCCAAUGUUGAACCCAAAGUUACGCCCUUGAAAUGUACAUUAGUGGACAUGUAGUUGACAAUUUAAAAAAAGGAAGAUCCCAUGUAAAGCAGUCUGUUCUGAAAAAAAGGGACUACAGUCAUCAUGCUGACGGAGGCGGGGAAGUGGGCUGGUGUGUUUGGAGGUGUCCUCAGUGUCCGUGCCAGGCAAGCAAAGAAAACACAACAACCCAAAGCAAAACACCACACUCAAACUAUAAACAGUAAAAACAAGAA